GUUGUGGCUCAGUGGUAGAGCGCUUGCCUAACAUACGCAAGGCACUGGGUUUGAUUCUCAACACAACA
rnacentral:tRNA from 1 species